CCUUUCGUUCCACCCCUCUUGCCCCGAGAGAGGAAAGAAAGCUCACAGUGGAAAGGCUUAUUUUCACCUUUUUAUAGCCCCGAGCUAGUUUGAUCGAAGAUUGCAAAAUCAUUCGAUUAAAAAGUUCGUAUACAGAUAUGGCCAACACUCGUCUCAAUUAUUAAUGUGAAACCUCUCUCGAUUCACUCUCUCGAGUUUACCCACUUUUUGCUCUAAUAAAGUCGCCCAGGUUUUAUCUGGAAGUUUUCACCGUAAGCUCUAAUCCGAACAACGAGAGAAAAUCGAACAAAGACGAAUGAUAAAUUCGUCCUACUCGAUUAAAUUCACAAAUCCAAUUAAUAAGACUCAUCCGAUUUCUGCGUUUAAUUAAGACAUCAGUCUGUUGCGUCUUGCUUCUGAUUUGAUUAAGUACGUGAAAACAUAUCGCGUUAGAACGACGGACAAACAUUUUACGGAGAACAGAUGCAUUUAGAAAGUAGAAUAUGUAAAUCGCGCACUAAUAUAACACGUUAACCAUUAUGGAUUAGGUGUAGCUACUCUAUAGCUCGUGUUAUGCGCUUCUUCUUUCACAGAAUACGUCAUUAAUUCCAUGAAUAUUGAUGGUGCUUUUUUAGUGCGUCUUGGUUUCUGUGGAAAUUACAUAAUUGUUUACAUUGCAUAUGGAUUACAUUUCUUAAUGCAUCGUUAUCUAAUUAAUAAUAAAUUAAAAUAAAUAAUAAUAAGAUAAAUGGUAACAAGAUAAUAUAAUAUGUGUAGUAACGUUAAUUAGUAUAAAUAUGGAUGUAGCGAUAGACCACGUAAUUAAUUCUAGAUAACUGAAAUAUGAUAAUAAACGAUUGAAGGGCACAGAAAAAAACCAAUUGAAGGAACGAAUAAUCAUCGCCACGUCAAUUAAGGAGAAACAUUCAUAGUUUGAUUUAGAAAAAAAGAAAAAAAGAAAAAAAUAUGAAAAUAAUCUUGCUCGAAACUGAAAGAUGAUAAAUCAUAACAUGAUAAUCUGAUAACCAUGAAUAACAACGUAUAAUGUUUGACGAAGACUGAUAUACGCAACGUGGUGAUUAUCGUUUAACGACUGAUUACAUCUUUGGAUGUCAAUCAAAAUUCUUUGAAAAUAAAUUGACAAGAUCAACGAUUUGACACGGAAAAAUAAAAUGCCACGCUAACAAUUGAA